rnacentral:rRNA from 1 species
UACGUAGGGUGCGAGCGUUAAUCGGAAUUACUGGGCGUAAAGCGUGCGCAGGCGGUUCGUUAUGUCCGAUGUGAAAGCCCCGAGCUCAACUUGGGAAUGGCAUUGGAAACUGGCGGGCUGGAGUGUGGCAGAGGGGGGUGGAAUUCCACGUGUAGCAGUGAAAUGCGUAGAGAUGUGGAGGAACAUCGAUGGCGAAGGCAGCCCCCUGGGCCAACACUGACGCUCAGGCACGAAAGCGUGGGGAGCAAACAGG